rnacentral:rRNA from 1 species
UACGUAGGUGGCAAGCGUUGUCCGGAUUUACUGGGCGUAAAGAGCGCGCAGGCGGUCGUUCAAGUCGGGUGUGAAAGCCCCCGGCUCAACUGGGGAGGGUCACGCGAUACUGAUCGACUCGAAGGCAGGAGAGGGUAGUGGAAUUCCCGGUGUAGCAGUGAAAUGCGUAGAUAUCGUGAGGAAGACCAGUUGCGAAGGCGGAUCUCUGGGCAGUUCCUGACACUGAGGCACGAAGGCCAGGGGAGCAAACGGG